GAAAGCAACUGUCCACAUCUGGAAUUAAUCACAGCUAGCCCUCAAUAUCACUGUCAGCUGCUCUGAUACUCAGAGCCAAACCAUUUGACUUCCCCCGUUAGACACGAACAACCACACAGAACAGCAACCUCAGACAGACAUGCUUGUGGGCAUCAUGAUAAAACUAAUCAAAACAAGACUACCGCGUGACUUACUUUGUCUAUCUCUGCUCAGACAUAAACAGGGUCACUGUACCCACUAGGAAAUCCUCAGCAUGGAAUCACCUGGUUCCUAGGGGCAUCCAAUGUAGAGCAAAACUCCAGGCUCCCCUCAGAUCUCCCCACCAAAGUCUACAGUUAGGGCAGGUCAAUCCUGAUACUGCUGCUGAGGGAGUGUCCCCACAAUGUACAUAUUUCUCUGACAAACAAGGAUUACUAGUGCAGUCCCAGAAGACAAGAAGCUGAAUGUGUAAACGGUUGAGCCGUUGCCUCUGCAGAGGAGUGCUUCCAGAGGGUGAUGGAACUUUUGCAGGCAAAGUGGGGUCAGACAGAAGUCAUUCUGCACAGAGGAAGCAGCCGGAAGGGGAUCAUGGAUAUGGAGAAUGAGGAAUGUGGACUGCCACCCUUCCCCACUCAGCUACACUGCCUCUAUUAUGUGCAUGGUGGGAAAAUGAGGUUCAGCAAUGGAACAUCCCCUCAAGAACCCAAACACCUAAUUUGGAAUUUGAACCGAAAUCUGCCACAAUAAUCACAGUUCAGGGGCUGGAGGGAUGACUCAGGAAUUAAGAUCAUUUGUUGCUCUUGCAGAGAACCUGGGUACCAUUCCCAGCGGCCCACAUGGUGGCUCACAACCAUCCAUAAUUCCAAUUCCUGGGAAUCUGACACCCUCUUCCAACCUUCACUGGCUCCAGGCAACACACAAGCAAAUAGUACAGAGGCAUACAUGC
rnacentral:lncRNA from 1 species